rnacentral:rRNA from 1 species
CAGCUCUCCGAGUGGUAGGGAUAAUUAUUGGGCUUAAAGCGUCCGUAGCUUGCUCUUCAAGUCUUUCGUUAAAUCCAGCGAUUUAAUCGUUGGACUGCGGGAAAUACUGCUGAGCUAGGAGGCGGGAGAAGUUGACGGUAUUUCCGGGGUAGGAGUGAAAUCCUAUAAUCCCGGGAGGACCACCAGUGGCGAAGGCGGUCGACUAGAACGCGCUCGACAGUGAGGGACGAAAGCUGGGGGAGCGAACCGGAUUAGAUACCCGAGUAGUCC